UCUUAGGAUUCUUUUCCAACCUUAAUGAUUCUGUGAUCUUGAUGAUUACAUGCCACUGUUACAGAUAAAAGUAAGAGAAGAAGCAAGUAUCUUCUUGACAGCAGCCUCUGCCUCGUGGCUGGGAUGAGAUCAGCCUGUUUCAGACUUAGAUAUCAACAUGGGCUGAGUACUCCAGAUCUAAGGCAAACUCUUCCUAACCUGAAAAAUUUCAUGGAACUGGGGCUCAUGGUCAGAUGAUAUCCCAGGUGCUGCAAGGUGUCGAAAAUAUCAUCCAGUGUGAGGUAACCCCACCAGGGUUUGCUGCCAGAUCACUUGGUGCUGCCCUGGUGACGGGAGAUGGACUCAACAUUGCUUCAGCUGAUUGGAGAAAUAAUCUCUUUUGUCACAGUUAACGUUAAAUUAGGGUGGAAGAGUUGCUCCUAAUGAGAUAAUAAACUAUUAAGCACUAAUGGGCAGA